rnacentral:tRNA from 1 species
GGCAGCGUGGCCGAGUUGGUUAUGGCGUGAGGUUAAGGUCAUCUUAGCAUCCAAUUCCUCAUGGAGCAAUCCGCGUGGGUUCGAGUCCCACCGCUGUCA